rnacentral:rRNA from 1 species
AGAGUUUGAUCAUGGCUCAGGAUGAACGCUAGCGGUAUGCUUAACACAUGCAAGUCGUACGGAAAAGAAAUUUUUAGUGGCGAACGGGUGAGUAACGCGUGAGAAUUUGCCUUUAGGAAGAGGAUAACAACUAGAAGUAGUUGCUAAGACUCUAUAUGCCGUUUGGUGAAAAAAGCAAUUUGCCUAAAGAGAAGCUCGCGUCUGAUUAGCUAGUUGGUGGGGUAAAGGCCUACCAAGGCGACGAUCAGUAGCUGGUCUGAGAGGAUGAUCAGCCACACUGGAACUGAGACACGGUCCAGACUCCUACGGGAGGCAGCAGUGAGGAAUUUUCUGCAAUGGGCGAAAGCCUGACAGAGCAAUACCGCGUGGAGGAUGAAGGCCUACGGGUUGUAAACUUCUUUUCUCAAGGAGGAAGAUCUGACGUUACUUGAGGAAUAAGCAUCGGCUAACCCUGUGCCAGCAGCCGCGGU